CACCAUAGUCUGAGUGACUGGGGGCGUGCAACUAGCAGCCCAUCGGGCCGGGAGACCGGCGUGGCCAUCUGCAGCUUCGCCAUGUCGUCGGUGUUCGGCAAGCCCCGAGCUGGCAGCGGGCCGCACAGCGUGCCCCUGGAAGUUAACCUGGCUAUCCUUGGGCGCCGCGGAGCGGGCAAGUCUGCCCUGACGGUGAAGUUCCUCACCAAGAGGUUUAUCAGCGAAUAUGAUCCCAAUUUGGAGGACACCUACAGCUCUGAGGAGACUGUGGACCACCAGCCUGUGCACCUGAGGGUCAUGGACACUGCAGACCUGGACACCCCCAGGAACUGCGAGCGCUACCUGAACUGGGCCCAUGCCUUCUUGGUGGUGUAUAGUGUCGAUAGUCGUGCGAGUUUCGAGGGCAGCAGCAGCUACCUAGAGCUGCUGGCCUUGCAUGCCAAGGAGACACAACGUGGCUACCCUGCUCUGCUGCUGGGCAACAAGCUUGACAUGGCCCAGUACAGGUUUACCCACACCACUGGACAUGCGUGUAAGACCCAAUCCUACGCAUGGCUCCCACUGCCUCCUCAACCUGACAGUCCUUCUAAUAAUCCCUGAAAGUCUCUCCUUUCUCUCAGCUGGGUUACCCAAGGAACUCUUGGACUCCCUGGCUAUGGGGGAAGGAGCUGAUACCUGGCCCACGGGAGAGCAGACCUGUAUCUGCUGCUCUUGUGGACAGCCACCCUGUCUCUCAGUUGAGUUUGCUGAAAGGGAUGCUUUCUGACAGGAUUGCCAUCCAGAGAGGAAGUGCCAUCCACUGCUCACUAUGGAGACCCACACCAAACCAGCUCCUCACCUGUUUGCCAGGAUGCUCCUUCUCAGGAGGAACAUGCUUGUCAUGACCACCAGGACUGCCAGGACCAGGAUGGAAUAAUUCCAAGGAGCCGCUGAGGAGGGACACACAGAGAGACAGCUCCUUGAGCAGAGGCCAGGUGCCUUCAGGCCCCCUCAUCGCUGGGGCUCCGGCUCAGGCCCAUCUCAGAGCAUCAUUUGUCCCUUCUAUGGAGACUCCCACCAAGACCCCUGCUUUAGGAGAUCUCCCCAGCUGACCAGUGGGUUUGGGUUGGAGUCAGGGUUUCUGCUCUGGACCAGCCCUGAUCCCAUAGAGAGGGGCACGGGGGGAGGGGGGGGGAGACAGUUCUAUGUUUGCAUAAUAGCUGGGUAGAGGGGGUGUGAGUGGCGUAAGGAGGAAACUUGAACUCCAGCCUUCAAUUUUAUACUGCCUUUAGGAAAAGGAGGAGGAGGAGAAGGAGGAGGAGGAGGAGGAGAGAGGGAAGGGGUAAUGACAGCCUGACUGGAUGCAGUUACUGCCUACUACAGGUGAAGUGGCAGAUUGGGCGGUGCGUGCUUUUGACAGAUCAGACUGUGACAUGUGAGGCAGGCUCCAGGAUCACAGCUUUUACUCUCCUCCUGUAGGGAUGGUCCCCCACCAAAGGAUCUGAGAGCAAAUUCCUUCCCUUCUUGCAAGGGUUUCCCUCCUGCAAGCCUUUACCAGGAUGUCCUGUUAGUGAGACUUCCCUUGAUUACUUUGUCUUUCUUGCUGCAUACCCCCUCCGCUCCAUGCCAUAUUGAGAGUUCAAUUUAAGAUUCCUGACAUGCCUGGCAGGGGCUCCACCACCAAGGCUCCAGCCCUCCUUCUUUGUGUAAUAGCCCAGGCUGGCCUGGAACUCACAGAGAUCCACCUGCCUCUGCCUCCCAAGUGCUGGGAUUAAAGGCAUGAGCCACCACCACCUGGCCAGUUUGCUUCUUUUUUUUACUAUGCACCAAGAACAUGUUAUACUCUUAGCUGUUGGUUUAUUUUCUGUCUCCUCUACUAGAAUGGACACUCUGUGUGGGCAGAGACUUGUGUUUUGUUCACUGCUGUAUCCCAGUGGUAGGGCCAGGGCCUGGCACUCAGUACAACUAACUUAAUAAAUAGUAGAGUUGUUUGAGAGUCGAGUGAGUGGCCCAUACCCUGAGAAAAGGGGAGUGAGCGAUGUACCACUUGUUGGAGAAUGAUAGACAGUGAUGAACUGCCUCGCUCACCCGCCAUCACCUACCAUCUUCUGCACGAAAAUACCAAAGCAUUUCUUCCAGCAGUUCCUGGGGCACCUCGGCAUUGGCUGCAGCUUUCUCUGCACUGUGGUCCAUGUUUCUGCUCCUGAUUGAGAUGUUUCUGGCCUGUAAACAGACAAGUCUUGAGGCCCCAGCUGCCCACCUGGCCUUCCAGGUUCUGGCCUCUGAGAAGACAACUCCAGAAACAGCAGGAAGCACUCUUGGUUUACCAGUCCUUUUUGUCCAAAUCAGCAGGUCUAGAUCCCGGUUUUAGGGCUUGAAGGAGCCUGAACCAUGUCAGGAGCCAUCUAGGACAAGCUAAAUGCAUACAAAUGACCUUCCUGGAGAUGACAAGGCUAAAAGAGACUAUCUCAGGACUGCUUCUUGCAGCUGAUAUGACUUUCCUGUCUCUAUUAAAAUAGUAUAAUAAUUCCUGGGCAUUAGCUCACCCUAUUGGGCAGGUAUUCUGCAGAUCAAGGAAGAUGUACUAUCUUAUAGCAAUGCUAUAUAGACAAAUUGAUGAUUUAGUAAUUCCUAAUAAUGAUUCCAUAAAUUCUUAAAUUUAUACAGGCAAUUUUGAGCUCUUUACAAUAUGAAGGCUGAAGUUAGGGCUCUGUAAACUUUCAUGUAUCACAAGCUAAUUGCAUUAGGAUAGAAAGAGGGCUCGGAACAGAUUUGAGAUCAGAGAAGGCAUUCAUUCUGGGCUGGCUGGGAAACCAUUGUCUGAUAACUAAAGGAUGUAAACCGGGAGUGGCCAAUUUAUUGUAGGUGCAAGGACAGAAGAUUGUUCAUCCAGAAUGAAUGAGUUUUUUCAUUGGUGCUUGCUCAAUGAACUUGCUCAUGGGGACUUUUACUGCAUUCACCAAAUGUGUGUGUGUGUGUGUGUGUGUGUGUGUGUGUGUGUGUGUGUGAACACUUGUGGAGUAGAUGAGACAGAUGAUCAGCCCUGACAAGAAUAUGUAUGUGCAUAUUUUCUA